AAUUCAUCUGCCAAUAUUUUAAACCUGAAGAACUUUUAAACUUUCUUCUAUUUUUUAAAUUAACGUAUUUUUUUAUUUUUUAUUUUUGAGCUGAUAGCUGUCAUUAUUAUUAUUUUUUAUUUUAUUUUAUUUUAUUUUAUUUAUUUUUUUUGAAUCUCAUUGUGAAGUGUUACCAGAACUUUCUUAUUUCAUCUUCAUUCAUUUUUAUAGCACUGAUUCUGCAGUAGCAGUAAUACCGUGGUAUUUUAUUCAUUGGUGAUAAUGAGAGCGCUUGAGUUUGUAUUUUCAGUCUCUGAUCUUUUCUUCAGUCAUCUGCUGUGUCUCUGUGAUGUAUUGGCUGACGUCACUGAAGGUCACGCUCUUCUUAUGCUGCCGUUCCAACUGGCCGCUGCCUCCGCUUUUAUUUACUCACCAAGGCCAACUUUCACUCUCAUUGGCUGUUUGGCAGUUGUUCACGUUGGAUCCAGUUGAAAGACUUUCCGAUGCUUUCCAGAGUCUUAACGGUGUUCCUCAGAGAGAGAGAGAGAGUUUGAUGUCUGACGCUGAGUCACUGUGUCACUUGGACUCACCAGUGAGCAUGAAAUGUGCUGUAUAAAUAACUUGCCUUCAUCACACUGGGCUGGAUAAUUGUUCCUGUGGAAACCCUGCAGAAGCUCACAGUCGUGUGGAGAGGAUCUUACUGAAUACUGAAGAUGCAUCUGAAUAUCAUCUGUGUGCAGUGUCAUCUGACAGAUGAUGCAGAUCAAUAAAGUACCGUGUACCUGUCUGUCUGUAUCUGAGUUACCCAGAGGACAACAUGUCAGCCUGUCUGUCUGUGAACUAACGUACGUGUGUGUGUGUGUGUGUGUGUGUUCAGGGAUGAGGGAACUGUCUCCUCCUCAGCUGAAUCUGAAGCGUCUGUAUGGAGAGACGCUGGAGUCUGAGCCCGUCAUACUGAUCAUCUCUGCCGGCACGGAUCCGUCUCAGGAGCUCCGGGAACUCGCCAAUCAGAUCGUGGGGCGAGAAAACUUCCAUGAGGUGGUGAUGGCUGUCCUUGAAGAUCCUGCACCUGGUCACAGCGUGGCUCCCCCUGCUGGAGAAGGAGCUCAACAGUAUGAAACCCAAAGCCGGCUUCAGAUUCUGGUUGACUGCUGAGGUUCAUGUGAAGUUCACUCCUGUACUGCUCCAGUCCAGCCUGAAGGUCACCUAUGAGGUCAGUGUGUGUCAAAUAUAAUGUAUUCUCUUUUAAAUGAACCAAUUUUGAUUUUUACAUUUUUAAUCUAUUGUAUGCUGUUUUGGGUUGAUGCAUCAACAAAACUUCAUGAAACAUUAUUUUUAGCAUGCUUUUUAUUCAAUAAUGAUGAUUAUUAAUAAAAUGAUUAUUUAAAAAUCA
ensembl:lncRNA